rnacentral:rRNA from 1 species
GACGAACGCUGGCGGCGUGCUUAACACAUGCAAGUCGAACGCUGAAGCUUGGUGCUUGCGCUGGGUGGAUGAGUGGCGAACGGGUGAGUAAUACGUGAGUAACCUGCCCUUGACUCUGGGAUAAGCCUGGGAAACUGGGUCUAAUACUGGAUACGACAUGUCACCGCAUGGUGGUGUGUGGAAAGGGUUUUACUGGUUUUGGAUGGGCUCACGGCCUAUCAGCUUGUUGGUGGGGUAAGGGCUCACCAAGGCGACGACGGGUAGCCGGCCUGAGAGGGUGACCGGCCCCACUGGGGCUGAGAGACGGCCCAGACUCCCACGGGAGGGAGAAGUGGGGAAUAUUGCACAAUGGGCGGAAGCGUGAGGCAGCGACGCCGCGUGAGGGAUGACGGCGUUCGGGUUGUAAACCUCUUUCAGCACGGAAGAAGCGAAAGGGACGGUACGUGCAGAAGAAACGCCGGCUAACUACGU